rnacentral:rRNA from 1 species
CACUCCUGCGGGAGGCAGCAGUGGGGAAUUUUGGACAAUGGGCGAAAGCCUGAUCCAGCCAUGCCGCGUGCAGGAUGAAGGCCUUCGGGUUGUAAACUGCUUUUGUACGGAACGAAACGGCCUUUUCUAAUAAAGAGGGCUAAUGACGGUACCGUAAGAAUAAGCACCGGCUAACUACGUGCCAGCAGCCGCGGUAAUACGUAGGGUGCAAGCGUUAAUCGGAAUUACUGGGCGUAAAGCGUGCGCAGGCGGUUAUGUAAGACAGUUGUGAAAUCCCCGGGCUCAACCUGGGAACUGCAUCUGUGACUGCAUAGCUAGAGUACGGUAGAGGGGGAUGGAAUUCCGCGUGUAGCAGUGAAAUGCGUAGAUAUGCGGAGGAACACCGAUGGCGAAGGCAAUCCCCUGGACCUGUACUGACGCUCAUGCACGAAAGCGUGGGGAGCAAACAGGAUUAGAUACCCGUGUAGUCCCAU